AAUUCAUUCAACUAAUUAAUCCAACCUUAAUUCUAGAGAUUUAAGCUUAAGAAAUGUGGAGGAACUUAUCAAACUUGCCGUGAAAAGAAACAAGUGGCGUGCACUUUUAAUUAUUUAGGAAACUCAUCGGUUUAACAAACUGUAUUUAUUUAAAUUCCAUCAUGUUUCCUUAAUGUUAGAGCAGAGUUUGUUAUUGUUAUGGAUAAUGGCACAGUUACCACAGUUACCACUAACCACAGUUGCCACAGCUACAGUUACCACUCACUAUCUUGCUGUGCAAUGUGAAUAGUUACACUAAUUGACCACGUGACCUUAUUAGAAUAUACCCCGUAUAACCUCAUGGUACCAACUCUACAGUGCAUAAUUUCUCGUGUUGAACUAAUAAAGUAAUAUGAGCUCAUUUAAAAUUCAUUUCGUUUUGCUCUCAUUCCGAAUCGUGAUUAAAGGAUUAAGUAAAUUCUGAUGAUCUCGGGCUAACCACAUUUCACAGCUAAUUGCAGACAGAUGUAGUGAGAGAACCCGGCAAAAAGACCAGGUCACAGUCCCGCACACCUGCAUUUAUUGACCUCACUGAACCACGUGACUACCUUAUAAGGUCACGUGAUAACCUUAUAAGGUCACGUGGACUAGCCCCAGACAUUGCCUCUCAACUACUUACGUCCAGGUACAAUUCAGCUGAUUACUCUGCUUAUCUAGGUUGGAAGCUUGCCAAGUUUUAGUUUUUCUCAGAUCUACUCUCCGACAAAGCGAUCUAUCUUCAAGCACGCUUAAUUGUCUUAUAAGUUUCUAUAUUAUACAACUCUCUACGACUAAACGUUGUGUUGAUUGAGGUUACUCUGUAUUACUUCAUCCAGUAUAAAGUAAACCUGCCUGCAUAAUAUUCCCUCGACUCAGAAAGUUAAUUCUAUAUUCCCAUAUUCCCUCACACAGUCAAUAAAAGUUUACCUUAAUCCUUUCGACUCUGUAUACAGUCUAUUUGAUAUUCCCUCCCUCAGUGUAAGAUAGCUUGGUAGACAAACUCUAUUGACUCUUCUUUGUGAACAGUUGUGAGAUUUUAUGCCGAAGAGCAGCAUUUGGAAUCUUCUCUUAAAUUACGCGGACGAACACGACGGCAGCAGCUAUGAAAAGCAGGAGCGUUUAAAGGCAGCUGAGGAAGAAGCGAAGAAGAGGAGAUCAGCAAAAAGGAAAGCAGACGAUGAAAGUAAGACUGAGAGAAAUAUAGACGCGGUGAUGCCCAAGAUUAGGAUACGCCUGAAAAAGUGAACUACUGGAGAAUUAGGCACUUUUAAGUUAUGUAUAUUAUAAUGCUGUAAACUAACUCACGAAUGAUAUCGAGUUGAUAAUUGAGUGCAUUUGAGUAGCACUUUUUUUAGAUAUACUUUCGUUUUUGGAAGAUUGAUUUAUUGAAUACAAAACCGUGGAUGUAUUGUGAAUUCGGCUAAUAGCUACUUUUGGACACGUUCAGGAACUAACGUAAUGCUUUAUCGUCGAGAAUCGAGAUCAAUGGGAUGUUUUAAAAUCUCUUGAUUGUUCAAACAUAAUACAUCUAGUACAAUAAGACAAGAAGUUGUGGUUAUUUCUGAGUUAACUUUAACACAAGCUCCCAGUGAACCUGGGUUAAAAUAUCAUCAAAAGAUUACAACUUUCUAUAUUAUAUAUAUUUGAUUAUAACAAAUAUUUCUUUU